AGUCGAACGGACGAGGCCCCUUCGGGGACUGAGUUAGUGGCGAACGGGUGAGUAACGCGUGAGGAACCUGCCUUUCAGUGGGGGACAACAGUUGGAAACGACUGCUAAUACCGCAUGAAGCAAUUGAACCGCAUGAUUUGAUUGCCAAAGAUUUAUUGCUGAAAGAUGGCCUCGCGUCUGAUUAGCUAGUUGGUGGGGUAACGGCCCACCAAGGCGACGAUCAGUAGCCGGUCUGAGAGGAUGAACGGCCACAUUGGGACUGAGAUACGGCCCAGACUCCUACGGGAGGCAGCAGUGGGGAAUAUUGGGCAAUGGGGGAAACCCUGACCCAGCAACGCCGCGUGAAGGAAGAAGGCUUUCGGGUUGUAAACUUCUUUUACCAGGGACGAAGAAAGUGACGGUACCUGGAGAAAAAGCCACGGCUAACUACGUGCCAGCAGCCGCGG
rnacentral:rRNA from 1 species